AGUGAACGCUGGCGGUAGGCCUAACACAUGCAAGUCGAACGGCAGCACAGUAAGAGCUUGCUCUUACGGGUGGCGAGUGGCGGACGGGUGAGGAAUACAUCGGAAUCUACUUUUUCGUGGGGGAUAACGUAGGGAAACUUACGCUAAUACCGCAUACGACCUACGGGUGAAAGCAGGGGAUCUUCGGACCUUGCGCGAUUGAAUGAGCCGAUGUCGGAUUAGCUAGUUGGCGGGGUAAAGGCCCACCAAGGCGACGAUCCGUAGCUGGUCUGGGAGGAUGAUCAGCCACACUGGAACUGAGACACGGUCCAGACUCCUACGGGAGGCAGCAGUGGGGAGUAUUGGACAAUGGGCGCAAGCCUGAUCCAGCCAUACCGCGUGGGUGAAGAAGGCCUUCGGGUUGUAAAGCCCUUUUGUUGGGAAAGAAAAGCAGCAGGUUAAUACCCCGCUGUUCUGACGGUACCCAAAGAAUAAGCACCGGCUAACUUCGUG
rnacentral:rRNA from 1 species